GACAGAGGGUGCAAACGUUGUUCGGAAUUACUGGGCGUAAAGCGCAUGUAGGCGGCAACGCAAGUCGGGCGUGAAAUCCCACGGCUCAACCGUGGAAGUGCACUCGAAACUGCGUAGCUAGAGUCCUGGAGAGGAAGGUGGAAUGCUUGGUGUAGAGGUGAAAUUCGUAGAUAUCAAGCGGAACACCGGGUGGCGAAGGCGGCCUUGCUGGACAGUGACGUGACGGCUGAGAUGCGAAAGCG
rnacentral:rRNA from 1 species